rnacentral:tRNA from 1 species
GCGGGUGUAGUUCAAUGGCAGAACACCACUUUUCCAAAGUGGACACGAGGGUUCGAUUCCCUUCACCCGCU